rnacentral:rRNA from 1 species
CGGGGUGGAGUAAUGUCUGGGAAACUAGCCUGAUGGAGGGGGAUAACUGCUGGAAACGGUAGCUAAUACCGCAUAACGUCGCAAGACCAAAGAGGGGGACCGUUCGGGCCUCUUGCCAUCGGAUGUGCCCAGAUGGGAUUAGCUAGUAGGUGGGGUAACGGCUCACCUAGGCGACGAUCCCUAGCUGGUCUGAGAGGAUGGCCAGCCACACUGGAACUGAGACACGGUCCAG